AUUUAUAACCAGUUCAUUUUACAAUUUUUCAUUUUUAUUUGGAGCCCAAAGGUCAAAACUCAGAACAGAAACUUUUUCUCUCUCAGAACUGCAGGAACAAAAUUACAUCAUCCAGGUCCUGCUGCCCAGUUUUGGCUGUUGAUGCAGCUUUUCUUGACAUCUGGGCAGAAAUCUUUUCUAGCAUGGAGUCUGACGUCUGUUAUGCUGCAACAGAAGGGACCUAUGAUGACUUCCCAAGAAUUAAACAUUACAUACCCAAACAUCUGUCUGGAGCCACUUCUUCAACCGAUCCAGGAGCAGUCUGGUGGGGAUUUGUGGAUUUCCCAGCAUGAUGGAGAGGCUAAGUGACAACAAACCUGCAUUCAGGAAGCUCCACGCAGCAGGCUGACCUCGGAGCUGAACCCAGAACAGGUUUUAAAAGAAAACACCAACCAAACGUAACCAAACCAGACCCAGAAAGCAUGAACCACCGCAGGACAACAAAAUUCUCAUCUCUCCUCCUGGGAUCAGGCAGUUCUCUGUCCGUCUGAUGGGGAAGCGCAGCAGAUCACAACUGGCUCUGUGCCCACAGAUAGAGCUGCUCCCCAGCGGCCUCACACUGCUGCCUCAGAUCCCGGUCCAAACCUCCCGCCCGGCCCAAAAGGUCAACCCUCCGCCCCUGGAGCCUGCAACCGUCGCCUCACCUCUGGCACAAACACCACCAGCCUUCCUCUGCCAGCUUGUUACACCCAGACGAACACAAUCCAUUGCUGUGUUUUAUUUGGAGAUGAAUGUCUGAACUCUUUGUUUGCUGUUUGUGUUUCACACUGAUGUGUUGGAAAAUUAGUUUAAUAUGCUUCCUUGACCAAAACAUGUUUACUACAUUUUUUUGCACAAAGUCAUUCUUAAAUAAGGAAAUUCUAUUCUAUCUUAGGGCGUCUUGUCACUUUAAAUCCAAAUGAGCUGCUGCUGGCCACGACCACCAAGUCAACACCUACACUUUCACGUGAAAAUGGCUGCAAACAGAAGCACAAUUAUACAACCGUACAUCUUUGAAAAGCAGAAGUGGAGUCUCCUGCACAUCCAACAAGAAUUCAGCAAGUGGUUUCUGGAUGGUAUGUCAGCAACAAAACACUUGUCCUUUCCAGCAGCCAUUGUACAGCGCAUACAGCUGGAAACUGCGGAAGCUCAU